UCCCUGUUACCAGGGCAGUCUCCUAUGAAAAUCCAACAUAGGACAAGGGUUUCGUUCGUUUAAGGACUUAACCUCACAGCUCACGCCACGAACUGACGACGACCGUGCAAUACCUGUUUUAGGGUUCCUUGCGGCACUCCCCAGUUUCUUGGGGAUUCCCUAACUGUCAAACCCUGGAUAAGGUUUUCGCUUACUGUCGAAUUAAACCACAUGCUCCACCACUUGUGCGAGCCCCCGCCAAUUUAUUUGAGUUUUAAUCUUGCGAUCGUACUUCCCAGGUGGUCUACUUGACGCGUUAGCUUCGCAACAGAAAGGGUCGACUCUUCCUAUUGCUAGUAGACAUAGUUUACAGCGUGGACUAC
rnacentral:misc_RNA from 1 species